GAGAGGAGAGGAGAGGAGAGGAGAGGAGAGGAGAGGAAGAAACCUAAUAAGUCCAACUUUCUAACCACUUCAGGUUGAACCAAAGAGAGCUGUGAAGACAAGGAAGCAAAAGGCUUCAUAUGUGUAGGGACCUAAUAGAAUGAAGUGAAACAGCCCUAGAGAGAUAUGUAAAUUGUACUGAAAAGCUCAAGAAGCCAGUGUGUUGGAAGUGCUUACAGGACACUGCACCAAGGACAGAGGGGUCUGGAAGAGAAGAGAAGGGGAGAGAUCCUGGUCACAGUGCAACACAGUGAUGUGCUGCAACCAACCGUAAGAAGAAAUUGACCUACCUGGCUGUUCU
rnacentral:lncRNA from 1 species